GACGAACGCUGGCGGCGUGCUUAACACAUGCAAGUCGAACGGAAAGGCCCUGCUUUUGUGGGGUGCUCGAGUGGCGAACGGGUGAGUAACACGUGAGUAACCUGCCCUUGACUUUGGGAUAACUUCAGGAAACUGGGGCUAAUACCGGAUAGGAGCUCCUGCUGCAUGGUGGGGGUUGGAAAGUUUCGGCGGUUGGGGAUGGACUCGCGGCUUAUCAGCUUGUUGGUGGGGUAGUGGCUUACCAAGGCUUUGACGGGUAGCCGGCCUGAGAGGGUGACCGGCCACAUUGGGACUGAGAUACGGCCCAGACUCCUACGGGAGGCAGCAGUGGGGAAUAUUGCGCAAUGGGCGGAGGCCUGAUGCAGCAACGCCGCGUGCGGGAUGACGGCCUUCGGGUUGUAAACCGCUUUCGCCUGUGACGAAGCGUGAGUGACGGUAAUGGGUAAAGAAGCACCGGCUAACUACGUG
rnacentral:rRNA from 1 species